GCCCUUUUCCGGUUGUACCCGCCGGACCCGACUGCUAUCGGGCUGGGACUAAGACAUGCAAGUCGUGCGCGGUCGCCAUGCCCGACCGCGCGGCGGACGGCUCCGUAACACGUCCCCAACCGAACCUCGGGACCCGGAUAACCUCGGGAAACUGAGGUUAAUCCGGGAUAGGAGAGGGGUCCUGGAAGGGCCCUCUCCGAAAGGGGUGAUCGAGGCCAUGGUCGAUCACCCGCCCGAGGACGGGGGGGCGGCCCAUCAGGUAGUAGGUGGGGUAACGGCCCACCUAGCCUAUGACGGGUACGGGCGCUGGGAGGCGGAGCCCGGAGAGGGGCACUGAGACAAGGGCCUCAGCCCUACGGGGUGCAGCAGUCGCGAAACCUCCGCAAUGCGCGAAAGCGUGACGGGGUCAGCCCGAGUGCCACCCGUGAGGGUGGCUGUGGCCGGCCGUAAAAAAGCCGGCUUAGAAAGCGGAGGGCAAGGCUGGUGCCAGCCGCCGCGGUAAAACCAGCUCCGCGAGUGGUCGGGACUAUUACUGGGCUUAAAGGGUCCGUAGGCGGCCCCGUGAGUCCGCGGCUAAAUCCCAGGGCUCAACCCUGGGACUGCUGCGGAUACCACGGGGCUAGGGACCGGGCGAGGGCGGGGGUACUCACCGGGUAGGGGCGAAAUCCUGAGAUCCGGUGAGGACCGGCGGUGGCGAAGGCGCCUGCCUGGAACGGCUCCGACGCUGAGGGACGAAAGCCGGGGGAGCGAAGGGGAUUAGAUACCCCCGUAGUCCCGGCUGUAAACGAUGCCUGCUAGGUGUUGGGCUGGCUGGAGCCAGCCCAGUGCCUGAAGGGAAACCGUUAAGCGGGCCGCCUGGGGAGUACGGCCGCAAGGNUGAAAUUAAAGGGAACUGGGGGGGCCAGUCAAGGGGGAGGGAU
rnacentral:rRNA from 1 species